AACAAGAAGGAGCUUGCUAGGGCUUGGACAAAGGACACGAGUUCGACGUCCGUGUGGCGCACGAGACUCCACACCUUGCUUCUACUACCCCUCGAGAGCCGGGACCCAGCGAGCCGGCGGACGAUCGCGGUAAGAGCAUCGCGCUCUAGAUAGAGACCGCCCGAGUUGUUCAUUUACCUUAGUUGUAUACCCUUUAUUAUAUCAUCUUUUGUACCUCGAUGACGAACUUACUUUAAUGAAUGAUGUAAGGGAUAUUUACUUU